GGCCUGGUGGCCUAAUGGCUAAGGCGUUGCUUUCCGGUAUGGAAUUGGCAAAGAUUGUGGGUUCGAGUCCCGUCUGGGUCG